GGAGGAGAACAUGGGGUUGAACGAGCAGAAGAUUGAUUAUUAGUGGACGAUUACAUGUCCUUGCCAUUUACUCAAAAUGGUAUUUGAUUCCAAUAGGAUGGUGUGUUUUGGUGUCUUUAGUUCUAUCCACAUGGAUGAAGAGAACUAUGAACAUCCAUAUCAGUUUGUUCCAUGGAGAUGGGAGGUAAGUUAGAGGUUUAUUAACUAGUUUUAUAUUUCACUUUCUCUUGAUGAUAACCCAAACUCUGUGUCUUUGCUUGUGUACUAACUAAUCAUGCAUAUAAUACAUAUUAAUUUC